AUUGAACGCUGGCGGCAGGCCUAACACAUGCAAGUCGAGCGGAUGAAGGGAGCUUGCUCCUGGAUUCAGCGGCGGACGGGUGAGUAAUGCCUAGGAAUCUGCCUGGUAGUGGGGGAUAACGUCCGAAAACGGGCCCUAUUCCCGCAUCCUUCUGGGGGGAGAAGUUGGGGGUUUUUCGAACCUCCCGCUAUCAAUGGAGCCUAGGUCGGAUUAGCUAGUUGGUGGGGUAAAGGCCUACCAAGGCGACGAUCCGUAACUGGUCUGAGAGGAUGAUCAGUCACACUGGAACUGAGACACGGUCCAGACUCCUACGGGAGGCAGCAGUGGGGAAUAUUGGACAAUGGGCGAAAGCCUGAUCCAGCCAUGCCGCGUGUGUGAAGAAGGUCUUCGGAUUGUAAAGCACUUUAAGUUGGGAGGAAGGGCAGUAAGUUAAUACCUUGCUGUUUUGACGUUACCAACAGAAUAAGCACCGGCUAACUUCGUG
rnacentral:rRNA from 1 species